rnacentral:rRNA from 1 species
GACGAACGCUGGCGGCGUGCCUAAUACAUGCAAGUAGAACGCUGAAGAGAGGAGCUUGCUCUUCUUGGAUGAGUUGCGAACGGGUGAGUAACGCGUAGGUAACCUGCCUGGUAGCGGGGGAUAACUAUUGGAAACGAUAGCUAAUACCGCAUAAUAGCAGUUAUUGCAUGAUAACUGUUUGAAAGGUGCAAAUGCAUCACUACCAGAUGGACCUGCGUUGUAUUAGCUAGUUGGUGAGGUAACGGCUCACCAAGGCGACGAUACAUAGCCGACCUGAGAGGGUGAUCGGCCACACUGGGACUGAGACACGGCCCAGACUCCUACGGGAGGCAGCAGUAGGGAAUCUUCGGCAAUGGACGGAAGUCUGACCGAGCAACGCCGCGUGAGUGAAGAAGGUUUUCGGAUCGUAAAGCUCUGUUGUAAGAGAAGAACGAGUGGAGAGGGAAAGUUCACAC